GUGUCACAGGGUGAGGUCAAGUUGGGUUUUUGUCGGCAUGUUUUGGUCUUGUCAUUUCCGUUUUAUUUUGAAAGUAGUAACCUUCCUCUCGUUUCAGGUCACUUGCCCUUCCUCAUGUCACCAGUCGAAUCGUCUCCCCUGAUUCCUGAUUGUGUCCACCUGUUUCCCAUUACCCUCAUGUGUCUUAUAGUCUGCGUCUCCCUUUGUCUUGUGCCUGAGUGUACCACCGUGCGAUCACCCAAGCCUCGCCACAGCCACAGGAUUUGUUAAUACCAUUGCCUUGUCUCGGAAUGAUUUCCCCUUUAUGUUUUUCCAGUGAGUAAGAGUGACCUUUGUUGGAGCUUCUUAGUUUUAGUUUUAGCGCGCUUUCGAAGCCGUUCGUUUUCCUCGUUUAAGAGAGAUUUUAGUUUGUUAACUUUCGUCGGAAACGCUGAUAGCUCAUAGCCGUUUGUUUGUUUUUUCACGACGCGAAUAAAGACGCCAAACCCUCUGCAUCUGAGUCCUCAUUUUUAUCUGGUCCUGACGGAACACUCAGGCCAGUAUGGACUCAGCAGAGGCAGAACAGAUGGCGGCAGCCCUGGGUGCCCAAGAUGCCCGUCUUUCCCUUCAGGAGGAAUUCCAGACGUCACUGGCUUCCCACAUAAGCCUACUCUCAUCCCAAAUUCAGGGUCUGCGUGACCUUUUCGUCCAGGACACCACAGCCCCCAGGGCCCCGACAGUAGAGGCUGCUCCUCCCCCGACAGCGGUUGUCCAUGGGUCUGGAGGAAGGUCCAAGGUAGCAUUCAUGAUGACCCACCUGACCGGCAGGGCCAAAGCAUGGGCCUCGGCAGAGUGGGCUCGUGACUCCCCACUCUGCUUUUCCCUCACCGACUUUAAAGCAGCCUUACAGAGGGUUUUUGACCCAGUGUCGACCGACCGCGAAAAGGCUCAGGAGCUGAGCAGGUUGAGGCAAGGCGACAGCUCUGUCUGUGACUACGUCAUACACUUCCGCACCUUGGCUGCAGAGAGCGGGUGGAACGCCACCGCCUUGUACGAUGUGUUCCUGAAGGGGCUGGCUGCUCCUGUUCAAGACCUCCUGGUGCCUUUGGAUCUACCCCCAG
ensembl:lncRNA